rnacentral:rRNA from 1 species
GACGAACGCUGGCGGCGUGCUUAACACAUGCAAGUCGAACGAAGAGCGAUGGAAGCUUGCUUCUAUCAAUCUUAGUGGCGAACGGGUGAGUAACGCGUAAUCAACCUGCCCUUCAGAGGGGGACAACAGUUGGAAACGACUGCUAAUACCGCAUACGAUCUAAUCUCGGCAUCGAGGAUAGAUGAAAGGUGGCCUCUACAUGUAAGCUAUCACUGAAGGAGGGGAUUGCGUCUGAUUAGCUAGUUGGAGGGGUAACGGCCCACCAAGGCGAUGAUCGGUAGCCGGUCUGAGAGGAUGAACGGCCACAUUGGGACUGAGACACGGCCCAGACUCCUACGGGAGGCAGCAGUGGGGAAUCUUCCGCAAUGGACGAAAGUCUGACGGAGCAACGCCGCGUGAGUGACGACGGCCUUCGGGUUGUAAAGCUCUGUUAAUCGGGACGAAAGGCCUUCUUGCGAAUAGUGAGAAGGAUUGACGGUACCGGAAUAGAAAGCCACGGCUAACUACGUG